rnacentral:rRNA from 1 species
AACGAACGCUGGCGGCGCGUUUUAAGCAUGCAAGUCGAACGGUAGAGUAGUGCUUGCACUACUUGAGAGUGGCGAACGGGUGAGUAACGCGUAGAUGAUCUGCCCUGCAGUUGGGGAUAGCCCAUGGAAACAUGGGGUAAUACCGAAUGAGUUGCUCUGACUUUGGUUGGAGUAGGAAAGGAGCUUCGGCUUCGCUGCGGGAUGAGUCUGCGUAUGAUUAGCUAGUUGGUGGGGUAAAGGCCUACCAAGGCGACGAUCAUUAGCCGGCCUGAGAGGGUGACCGGCCACAUUGGGACUGAGACACGGCCCAGACUCCUACGGGAGGCAGCAGCUAAGAAUCUUCCGCAAUGGGCGCAAGCCUGACGGAGCGACGCCGCGUGGGUGAAGAAUGCCGAGAGGUUGUAAAACCCUUUUCUCACAGAAGAAUAAUUCCCUGAGGUAAUGCGGGGGAGAUGACGUUAUGUGAGGAAUAAGCACCGGCCAAUUACGUGCCAGCAGCCGCGGUAACACGUAAGGUGCGAGCGUUGUUCGGAAUUAUUGGGCGUAAAGGGCUCGUAGGCGGCCUGCCAAGUCUCACGUGAAAGACCGGGGCUCAACCCCGGGGACGCGAGGGAAACUGGCAAGCUUGAAUCCUGGAGGGGGUACUGGAAUUCCUAGUGUAGGGGUGAAAUCUGUUGAUAUUAGGAAGAACACCGGAGGCGAAGGCGAGUACCUGGCCAAGGAUUGACGCUGAUGAGCGAAAGCGUAGGGAGCGAACAGGAUUAGAUACCCUGGUAGUCUACGCCGUAAACGAUGUGCAC